GGGGUUACAACUUGGGGAUUCGAUUGGAUGUACAUGUUUUUGGGGGACAUGCACUUACUGUCUUUUCUAAGAGGGCAUCAUGGUGUACAAAUUCUUAAGCAUGAUGAUUGGAUGUUUUGGUGGUGUUGAUCCAGACGACAUUUCAGUGUCUCGCAGAAUAUCGACAUGCAUAAGCUAAUCAAACCAUCCAUCUGAAUUACUAUCAUUAUGAAGACGAGUUAUAGAUGAUAUGGGAGAGA
rnacentral:lncRNA from 1 species